AUGACCGUCGCCGAGAAGAUCGGCCAGAUGUCUCAGAUCGAGCGGGAGAACGCCACCGCCGACGUCGUCAAGGAGUUCUUCAUAGGCAGCGUGCUGAGCGGCGGGGGCAGCGUCCCGGCGACGAACGCGACGCCGGAGGCGUGGGUGAGGAUGGUGAACGAGAUGCAGAGGGGCGCGCUCUCCACGCGCCUCGGCAUCCCCAUGCUCUACGGCAUCGACGCCGUCCACGGCCACGGCAACGUCUACAGGGCCACCAUCUUCCCGCACAACGUCGGCCUCGGCUGCACCAGGGACCCGGAGCUAGCGAAGAAGAUCGGGGCGGCGGUGGCGCUGGAGGUGAGAGCCACGGGGAUACCGUACGUGUUCGCUCCGUGCAUGGCGGUGUGCAGGGACCCCAGGUGGGGCCGCUGCUACGAGAGCUUCAGCGAGGACACUAAGCUGGUGCAGCAGAUGGCCUCCGUCAUCUCUGGCUUCCAGGGCGAGAUCCCGGCCGGCGGCCGCCGCGGCGCGCCCUACGUCGCCGCCGGGCAGCGCAACGUCGCGGCGUGCUCCAAGCACUACGUCGGCGACGGCGGCACGGCCGGCGGCGCCAACGAGGGCGACACGGCGGCCACUUUCCACGACCUGCUCAGCGUCCACAUGCCGCCCUACUACAGCGCCGUCGCCCAGGGCGUCUCCACCGUGAUGGUCUCCUUCUCCAGCUGGAACGGCGCCAAGAUGCACGCCAACCGUUUCCUCAUCACCGACUUCCUCAAAACCACGCUCAGAUUCAGGGGUUUUGUGAUUUCGGAUUGGGGAGGGAUUGAAAGGAUAACGACACCUAAAGGUGCCGACUACAUGCUGUCCGUCAAGCUGGCAAUCAUGGCCGGCAUCGACAUGAUCAUGAUCCCGUACACAUACACGGAGUUCAUCGACGACCUCAGCACCUUGGUGCAGAACGGAACCAUUCCGAUGAGCAGGAUCGACGACGCCGUCCGGCGGAUCCUCCGUGUCAAGUUCACCAUGGGUCUGUUCGAGAACCCCUACGCCGACUUCAGCCUCGCCGGCGAGCUCGGCAAACAGGAGCACCGCGACCUGGCGCGGGAGGCCGUGAGGAAGUCCCUCGUCCUGCUCAAGAACGGCAAGGCCGGCGAGAAGCCGCUGCUGCCGCUGCCCAAGAACGCGGGGAGCAUCCUGGUCGCCGGCAGCCACGCCCACGACCUCGGCAACCAGUGCGGUGGCUGGACCAUCACCUGGCAGGGCGUCGCCGGCAACAACCUCACCACCGGGACUACGAUCCUGGAUGGCAUCAAGCACGCCGUGGGGCACGGCACGGACGUGGUCUACUCCGAGAACCCCGACGCCGGCUUCAUGCGGCAGAACAAGGCCCGCUUCGACUACGCCGUCGUCGUCGUCGGCGAGCCGCCCUACGCCGAGUCCUUCGGCGACAACCUCAACCUGACCGUGCCGGCGCCCGGCCCCAGCGUGAUCCGGGACGUGUGCGGCAGCGUCAGGUGCGCCGUGGUGCUGGUCUCCGGCAGGCCGCUUGUCGUAGAGCCGUACAUGGACGCGAUCGACGCGCUGGUUGCGGCGUGGCUGCCGGGGACGGAGGGGCAGGGCGUAUUAGACUGUAUAGCUCCUGAGAAUGAUGUGAUGGACAAGACCCAAUCCUAA
rnacentral:rRNA from 1 species